UUUUAAACAUUUUGCUUUUUUUUUUUUUUUAAUUGGUCAAAGGCCUCUUUGGAAAACUGGCCGGGUCAACCGGCUGUUGGCCACUAAUUCCUCAUGUUUUUUCAUGCCUAUUUGUUCUUAUUAUGAGUUCUUGUUGCCCAUGGACGUGCAACUAAAUUUUGUGUAUAUGAUGGGCAUAGGACCUAUGUGAAUUGCAAGAAUUUUAUUUUGGAGUCUCUUUUGUUAUUGUAGAUUCUUAUGUCCACUAUCUAUCAUAUUUGUUUGCGAUUUUUCACUUUGUUGAUUUUCAUUUGCCAUUUCUUUUUAAUUUUGUUUUGUUUUGUUUUCUUUGUUCAUGUGGAAUACCCUUAACUUUAUUCAUAUAAAUUUUCUAGCAACAGUGCAAUGACUAUGUAACGAAGACGUAUCCAGCAGAUGUUCAAAACUUAGAAAAGUUUAUUCAUGUUGAGAGACGAGCAGGAAAUACGUCAGCCGUAGCUAACGCUUCAAUUUUGGCAGCUUUGAACUUGAGGCAAGAUUUAUCACGUCUAAAGCCUUCAGUUUUUAUGUUUAAAUAUUUUUACUUGUAGUAUGUUUAUUGGUGUAUUUUCCUAACUUUUGUAAUUUCUUAUUGGUUCUCACUUAUUUAGAUUAAACUUCUAUCCUAUUAUUUAUCUGUAACUCAAAUUUUUUUUUUUUCAUUUUCUUUAGUGAUUUAGACUUAUAUGUUCUUGUUUGUUAGCAAGAAUGACCAAAUUUGCCUACUUUGAUUUAGGGUUUCUAUUUUUAAAAGAUUACCGUAUGAUUGUUUCUAGCCUAACACGUGAUCAAUAUUUUCAUUAUUCGUGUCUGUUUCGAUACCUCCAUUUAAUGAAUUAUUUUGAGUUCUAUGUGAAAGGUUAUUGUGUUGCAGGAUGGAUUUUGUUGUUGUUUCUCACCUAAUUGAAAUUGUGUUUCCUUUGUCUUACUGAAUUUGUUUCUAAGUGUGUAUGGUUGUGAGUGGCACAUAUUCCUAGAAACACCGGAUGCAUUGCUAGAACCUGUGCUGUUUUAUUUGUUGGAUUAUCAACUUCCGUAUUUCUCUUCGGAUUUGAUUAUUAGCUGUAAAUAAAUUGGAAUGAUGAAAGAUGGAAGAUUUCAGUGAAUUAUUGAGGUGUAAGAUGGAAGAUGCUAGCAUAGGAAUGUUGACAUCAAAAUCGUUGAAGUUAAUUUUGUACUAUAAUCCACUUAUUUGGUGAAGCUAUUGAAUGUGUUCUAGUUCACUAGGAAUGUGUUCUAGUUCAUUUUUGUGUGGAUUCAAAAAUUCAUAACGAAAUUAUUAUCAAUUUUGUUCGUUAA
rnacentral:lncRNA from 1 species